rnacentral:rRNA from 1 species
CGUGUAGGCGGUUCUAUUUGUCGAGGGUGAAACCCUUGGCUCAACCAAGGAACUGGCUCUCGAAACGGUAGAACUUGAGUCCAGGAGAGGAGAGCGGAAUUCCCAGUGUAGCGGUGAAAUGCGUAGAUAUUGGGAGGAACACCGGUGGCGAAGGCGGCUCUCUGGACUGGAACUGACGCUGAUACGCGAAAGCUAGGGGAGCAAACAGGAUUAGAUACCCUGGUAGUCCUAGCUGUAAACGAUGGGCACUUGGUGUAGCGGGUAUCGACCCCUGCUGUGCCGAAGCUAACGCAUUAAGUGCCCCGCCUGGGGAGUACGGUCGCAAGGCUGAA